rnacentral:lncRNA from 1 species
GAAGCCGAGGCAGGCGGAUCACCUGAGGUCAGGAGUUCGAGACCAUCCCGGCCAAUAUGGCGAAACCCCGUCUCAACUAAAAAUACAAAAAUUAGCUGGGUGUGGUGGCAUGCACCUGUAAUCCCAGCUACAUGGAAGGCUGAGGCAGGAGAAUUGCUUGAACCUGGGAGGCAGAGGUUACAAUAAGCCAAGAUUGCACCACUGCACUCCAGCCUGGGUGACAGAGCGAGACUCUCUCUCAAAAACAAAAACAAAAAACAAACAAAAAAUAACAACAGCAAAAAAGAAUGACACAAUGGACUUUGGGGACUUGGGGGAAGAGUGUGGGGGGAGGGAGGGAUAAAAGACUACAAAUAGGGUUCAGUGUAUAUUGCUCGGGUGAUGGGUGCACCCAAAUCUCACAAAUCACCACAAAAGAACUUACUCAUGUGAGCAAAUACCACCUGUACCCCAAUAACCUAUGGGGAAAAAAGAGAAGAAUAUACAAAAAAUUUAAAAACUGGGCCGAGCGCAGUGGCUCACGCCUAUAAUCCCAGCACUUUGGGAGGCUGAGGAGGGCAGAUUACCUGCGGUUGGGAGUUUGAGACCAGCCUGACCAACAUGGAGAAACCCCGUCUCUACUAAAAAUACAAAAUUAGCCGGGUGUGGUGGCGCCUGCCUGUAAUCCCAGCUACUCAGGAGGCUGAAGCAGGAGAAUCGUUUGAACCCGGGAGGCGGAGGUUGCGGUGAGCCGAGAUGUGCCAUUGCACUCCAGCCUGGCAACAAAAGCGAAACUCCGUCUCAAAAAAAAAAAAAUUAAAAAACAAUUUUUAAAAAGAAAAUCUGGGUUCAUAGUUGGUGGGCCAGUGGCACACGCCCGUAGUCCCAGCUACUUGAGAGGCUGAGGCAGGAGGAUCACUUGAGCCCAGGAGUUUGAGACUACAAUAAGCUAUGAUGGUGCCACUGCACUGUAGCCUGGGUAACAAAGCAAGACCCCGUCCCUCAAAAAAAAAACAAAAGAAAAGAUCUGAUUCAAAUCUAGCUUUAUCUGACUCCCAAGCAGCUAACAGCGGCAACAAUUGGCAACGACCACUGCUACUCACGGCUGCCUGGGCUAAGCACUUUACAAAUGUGAUGUCAUUUAAUCCUCAUAAAGGUGAUAGGUUUUUUGCUUUUUGGUUUUCUUUAGACGGAUCUCAGCUCACUGCAACCUCCACCUCCUGGGUUUAAGCAAUUCUCCUGCCUUAGCCUCCCAAGUAGCUGAGACUAUAGGUUCCCACCACUACGCCCAGCUAAUUUUUGUAUUUUUGUAGAGACAGAGUUUCACUAUGUUGGCCAGGCUGGUCUUGAACUCCUGGCCUUGUGAUCUGCCUGCCUCAGCCUCCCAAAGUGUUGGGAUUACAGGCGUGAGCCACCGCGCCCAGCUGGAUAGGUUUUAUUAUUUACAUUUUACAGCUGAAGAAAAUGAGUUGCAAGGGAGGCUGAGUAAGCCCAAAGUCACUGAGGUCUGUCUCACGCCAUUCUCUUCAGCAAGUCACUCCAUGGCCUGCAUCCUCCACAACCAGGAGUCUCCAGCCUCCUCCCCCAGGGCAGAUUUUGUCUGAAUCUCAAAGAGUUGGAAAGGGAGAGGGCAGCCACACAGAGUUCCCGCUGACAACCACCACUCUAGACUGGGUUAGUGGAUCAGGUUGACUGGUGUUGGGGGCCAGGGGUACAUGGAAUCCUAUGGCCAUCUGGAUGUCAGCAAGUGCAGGGCACAGUGGCUCACACCUGUAAUCCCAGCCAAAGGAGGAGGAUCACUUGAGACAAGGAGUUCAAGACCAGUCUGGGCAACAGAGACCCCAUCUCUACAAAAAAUAAAAAAAUUAGCUGAAUAUGGUGGCCUGGACCUGUAGUCCCAGCUACUUGGGAGGCUGAGGUGGGAGGAUCACUUGAACUCAGGAGGUCGAGGCUGCAGCAAGUUUUCUGAUGGAGAUGCUCUUCAGAGCCUGGAGGUCAAGGAGACAGAAAGACGGAAACUGAUCCUACUUGUGUUGUGGGUUGAAUUGUGCUCUCCAAAAAGUUAUGUUCAAGUUCUAACCCUUAGUCCCUGGGCAUGUGACCUUGUUUGGAAAUAGGGGUCUUUGCAGAUGUAAUCAAAUAAGAUAAACUCAUAAUGGAUUAGGGUGGGCCCUAUAUUCAAUGACUUGUAAGAGGAGGGACCCCUAUGUGGAGAUAGAGGUAGGGAUGGAAGGAUGAGCUACGGCCCACAGAAUAUCAAGGAUACACAACAACCCUGAAAAGCUAGAAGGAGGCUAGGAAGGACUCUUCCCUAGAGCCUCAGAAGGAGCAUGGCCCUGCUGACUUAGGACUUCUGAUGGCAGAACUGUGAGAGAAUGAAUUUCUGUUGUUUUAAGCCAUCUAGUUUGUGAUUACGUGUUAUGGCAAAACUGGAAAACGAAUAGAGUUUGGUUGUUCCAUAGGGAUUUGGCUUCACAUCCAGAAUAUGCUAAUUAUUGUCCACAUGUCACGUGGGCUUGGGUGGUGGGACAGAGUUUUAUCCUUUUCUUUUCUUUUUUUUUUUUUUUGUGACAGAGUCUUGAUCUGUCGCCCAGGCUGGAGCGCAGUGGCGCGAUCUCGGCUCACUGUAACCUCCACCUCCUGGGUUCAAGCCAUUCUCCUGCCUCAGACUCAUGAGUAGCUGGGACUACCGGUGCAUGCCAGCACACCCGGCUAAUUUUUGUAUUUUUAGUAGAGAUGGGGGGUGGGUUCCACCACGUUGGCCAGCCUGGUUUCAAACUCCCGACCUCAAAUGAUCUGCCCGCCUUGGACUCCCAAAAGUGCUGGGGUUACAGGCAUGAGCCACCACGCCUGGUUGUGAGUUUUAACCUUGACCCUGAUUUAUUUUAUUAUCCUCUUGGAUGAAAAUUAAGAAUGUCUCCAUUCAAAUGGGUAGAUUGUGCAAAACCCGGAGAGAUGGUUAGUACUGAAGACAGGAUCUAUAUUCAAAAACACCUCAAAGAACAGCAAAAAUGCACUAAGACCUACAAUGUGAAAUGAACACGGACAAAGUUCUUGAUGUAGGUUCAAGAGCCAGUUGCACCAAUGGAGAAUGAGGAAUCCCUGGCUUGAUGACAGCUCACAUAAAAAAAGAUAUUGGCUGCAAGCUGAGUAAGAGUCAACAAUGCAUUCAGUCGUUUGAAAAGCCAGUGCAUCUGUAAGUGGCUUUGCUGCCAAGCAGAAUUGAGCUGAGCAUGCCACUGGCCUCUGGGCUGAUCGGGGCACACCUGAAGCUUCAUUCAGCCCUGGGUGCUGAAUUUUAGUGCCACAUUUGACAUUACUCAGCAUCCAGGAAAGACAGCCAGAAAAGUGAGAGGUCUGGAAACUGUCAUGAAAGACAAUCAGGAGAAUUAGUGUUGUUUUGAGGCAGAAAUUUAAAGAAACAUAAGUACUGCAUUUAUUUACUUUAAGGAUAGUAACAGGCAAGGCUAUAAAAAGGUCGCGGUGACCUAGUCUGAGAAGCAAAAGCUGCAAGAAUAGGCUCCAGACACCCCCGAGCAUGGUUGAAAAACAAAAAAUCCCCAAAACCAAAUUCCUUGACUGUCUCUCCUUCUCUGAACUAAUAAUUCUGACUAUGUUUGCCAAUGCUUGUACUUAGUCAGAUUUGUAAGUUCCUGUUUUCUUUUGCCUCAGCUGCAAGGUUACCCGCUAUGCAAGGGCACAGGUUGUGCCAAGUCACUAGUUAUGCUGUAGAUGACAGAAGCUGUCACUGUGUGAUUGACAGCCUUUGCGCUGGCCUAUAUAAGCUAAACCCUGACUUUGUUCAAUGCUCAGCUUUUUGGAUACGAAUCCUCUGAGCUGGUGCACCUUAAAUAAACAUCCUCCUGUUUCCCGUAUUGGUCUCUCCAGUCCUCUGUUCCUCGCAACAGUUUCCCCUGAAGAUGAGAAGACGUGGGAAGAGGGGACUUCUGUAAACAUUGACCUGCUUUUGUGAAGCACAGGGAGUGGGUGUGCUAGGAGAAUGGUUCCUAACUAGCGGCUUCUGUGCUGAUGAAGGCAAACAGCAGUCUCAGUCUUUUUUUUUUUUUUUUUUUUUGAGACAGAGUCUUACUCUGUUGCCCAGGCUAGAGUGCAGUGGCGCACUCUCAGCUAACUGCAACCUUCACUCCCUGGGUUCAAACAAGCACAUCUGUCUAAUUUGUGUAUUUUUAGUAUAGAUGGGGUUUCGCCAUGUUGGCCAGGCUGGUCUUGAACUCCUGACCUCAAGUGAUUCGCCUGCCUCCGCCCCCCGAAGUGCUGGGAUUACAGGUGUGAGUCAUCGUGCCUGGCCUAGUCUCAGUCUUCAGACACAGGGGAGACCUGUUGGUUUUGCAGCGUCUUCUCUCUUUCUAAUAAAAGCAUCCAUAUUUUUCUUUGUGAGACCACUCUGCCCCCACUUUGUCCGUGGUUCCAGCGGUCGGCUUAGGACUGGGAUUUAGCCAAUCCAAGUGCUCUAUUCCCUUGGUCACGGCAAUCUGUUCAAGGGUGGGUAUGUGACCCAAGCCAGAUCAAUGAGUGUCUGUAUUAGUCUGUUCUCACACUGGUGUAAAAAGAUACCUGAGACUGGCUGAGUGCGGUGGCUCACGCCUGUAAUCCCAGCACUUUGGGAGGCUGAGGCAGGCGGAUCACCUGAGGUCAGGAGUUCGAGACCAUCCUGGCCAACAUGGUGAGACCCUGUCUCUAUUAAAAAUACAGAAUUAGCCAGGCGUGGUGGUGUGUGACUGUGGUCCCAGCUACUUGGGAGGCCGAGGCAGGAGAAUCGCUUGAAUCCAGGAGGCGGAGGUUGCAGUGAGCUGAGAUCACAUCACUGCACUCCAGCCUGGGAGACAGAGUGAGACUCCGUCUAAAAACAAAAAACAAAAAACAAAACAAAAAAAACCCUGAGACGGUGUAAUUUAUAAAGAAAAGAAGAAAUCAUUUUAAUUGGCCAGAUGUGGUGGCUCACGCCUGUAAUCCCAACACUUUGGGAGGCUGGGGCAGGCAGAUCACCUGAGGUUGGGAGUUCGAGACCAGCCUGACCAACAUGGUGAAACCUCGUCUGUACUCUACUAAAAAUUCAAAAAUUAGCCAGGCGUGUUGGUGCAUGCCUGUAAUCCCAACCAUUGCACUAUUGCACUCCAGCCUGGGCAACAAGAGCUCCGUUGUUUUUUUGAAACUCCGUUUCAAAAAAAAAAAAAAGAAGAAGUUUAAUUGGCUCACAGUUCUGCAGGCUGCAUAGGAAGCAUGACGCUGGCCUCUUCCCGGCUUUUGGGGAGGCCUCAGGAAACUUCCAAUCAUGGCAGAAGGCGAAGCGGGAGCAGGCACUUCACACGGCAGGAGCAGAAGCAAGAGAGAGAGCGAGGGGGUGGGGCCACACACUUUCAAACGGCCAGAUCUCUCGAGAACUCACUAUGGAGAACAGCACCGAGAGGAUGGUGCCAAACCAUUCAUGAGAAAUCCACCCCAUGAUCCAACCACCUCCCACCAGGCCCCACCUCCAACACUGAGGAUUAGGACUCAACUGGAGAUUUGGGUGGGGACCCAGAGCCAAACCAUGUCAGUGUCUAUCUGAGGCAUUUGGUUGCAACUACCAAGUAGAGACACUCUUUUUCUGUUGGGAGCACUAAGCCAGCAGUAUAGAAUCCUGCAACCGCUGGAGGCCAGUGUGCUAAGGUCUGAGAGGAGCCUGUUUGAGAGCAAAGUCAACACAGUGAAUGGAGCCAAGAAAUGGAGACAGCAAGAUCUCUGUUGGCACGCUGUGAACGCCUGGAUCCAGCCAUGCCUGAAUUUGAUCUGUGAACCUCUUGGACAUGACACAAUAUGAUCCCCACUGAUUCUUUCCCCAUCUGAGUUCAGGCUUUGUUGUUUGCAAUCACAUCCACCUGUGCUGGAACUCAGAAACCAAUACCCCAGAAUAUGGUGCUUUGACAUAUGGGACCGAAGAAGCCUUGAGGUCUCUCUGACCUUUCCCCAAAGAAGUUGAAGUUUUUUAAUUGGUCAAGUUCCAGACCCACAAGGAGCAAUUAUUUGUAAAGCCAGGAAUGUAACCAAACUUGAACAGAACUUUCCACAAAAUAGUAUGUAAACUGAUCUCUGUUCCUAGAUCCAUUUACUUUCCCUAGUAAUCCUUUAUCCCCCUCUUUUCCUGCCUCCCAUAAACUGUGCUGCCAGGAUGCUGUAUGAGCUUCUGAACCCCACUGGGGCGCAGGCACCCUGACUCUCCCUAUGUGCAUGUAAAUUAGUUUUAUGCCUUUUUUCUGUUAAUUAGUUGGCCUCAUGUCAAUGAUUUUCAACCACUGUCAAUUUUUUCAGAUGAUUCUUUUUUUUUUUUUUCAGACAGGUCUCUCUCUGUCGCCCAGGCUGGAGUGCAGUGGUGUGAUCUUAGCUCACUGCAGCCUCGACCUCCAGGGGCUCAGGUAUCCUCCUACCUCAGCCUUCUGAGUAGCUGGGACCGCGGGCAUGCACCACCACACCUGGCUAAUUUUUAAAAUUAUUUGUAGAGACGGGGUCUUCCUAUGUUGCCCAGGCUGGUCUCGAACUCCUGGACUCCAGUGGUCAGCCGGCCUCAACCUCCCGAAGUGCUGGGAUUACAGGUGUGAGCCACUGUGCCCAGCCUGAGAUAAAUCUAUUGAGUUUUCACUGUGAACAAUGAGGAUGUAGCUCAUUUUUGUUCUCCCUGUCCCCACCACACAGAAACUCUCUGCCCUUCUCUUCCUCCUGAUUGAGUUACGUUGUGAUUUUGUUUAGAUCCACAUUCACUGCUUGUUUUUUGUUUUUUUUUUUUGAGACGGAGUCUGGCUCUGUCGCCCAGGCUGGAGUGCGGUGGUGUGAUCUCGGCUCACUGCCAGCUCCGCCUCCCGGGUUCAUGCCAUUCUCCUGCCUCAGCCCCCUGAGUAGCUGGGACUACAGGGGCACGCCACAGCGCCCGGGUAAUUUUUGUAUUAUUAGUAGAUGAGGGGCUUCACCGUGUUGUUCAGGCUGGUGCCCUUGGUCAUCCACAGGUGUGGGCCAAGCUAAGUUUGGGAGAAAUGUAGUUUAUAGUUUAAAUGAUAAUAGCCCUUUCCAAAACUAAAUUGCCUUUGUAAAACUAAUGAAAGGCCACCGGGUUAGGGGGAUGACAGGGGCAUGAAUUCCACGAAGAUGUGGGUGCCGUGAGAUGAUUCCCAGCCACUAUUCCAAAGGCCACUGGGUUAAGAGGAGGAAAGGGGCAUGAAUUCCGCGAAUAUGUGGGUGCUGUGAGAUGAUUCCCAUGAGAAGUCACAAGAUUUGCAACUUCCCCAAUGACUCCUGUAAAUAACAUCACUACUGUAAGACCUAAGAUUGGCCUUUUGAGAUCUCUUUUCAGGGUUUCAGGUUACUGAUGACCGGAAGGCCCCACCCAAACCAGCAGCUCCUCUGUGGCCACUACCCAGAGGCUGCCUCAGAGCACAAGGGCCAAUUUCCACACCCCCGUGAUUGCCCCCCCAGCUGAUCAGCAGCACACGUCCCAUAGCUCCCUGCCCACCAAACUCUCCUUAAGAGACCUUCGCCUCUGAAUUUUGGGGCAGGCUGAUUUGAGUAAUAAUAAAACUCUGGUCU